AGUACGUGAAACUGCUUAGAGGUUAAGCCCGAUGAACCUGAAUAUCCGUUAUGGAAAAUUCAUCACUAAUACUGUAAUAUUAAUAAUAUCAUAGGAAUAGUGUGCAAUUUUUCCAUAUAAGGACAUUGUAAUCUGUUAAUGUAAUAAAUAUUUAUUAAAAGAUCUUAUACUUAAGUUUAUUCAAAUUAGUUAUUUUCGGAUUUCUAACAUAGAAUAAAUGUAUUGGAUUUAAUAAAUCAUUGACAGAUUUAUUUGUAUAUAACGCUUAAAUUUUGAAAAGAAUUUUACAAUAAUAUUUUAAUUUUAUUUAUUAUAUUUAUUGUAUGCGUUUAUAUGAUUUACAAUGCGAUAGAUUCAGGAUACCUUCGGGACCCGUCUUGAAACACGGACCAAGGAGUCUAACAUAUGUGCAAGUCAUUGGGUAUUUUUAAUAAAACCCAAUGGCAUAAUUAACUUAACUGUUUUUUAAUGGGAUUAGUUUAUAUUUUAUUAUGAAAUAUGAAUUCAAUCCCGGGGCGUUCUAUACAGUUAUGCAUAAUGAUAUUUAUAUUAUUUAUGCCUCUAACU
rnacentral:rRNA from 1 species